CGUCCGCGCGGGCCCGCCCCCGCCCUGUUCCUCCCGCGGCGGGAGACGCGCUGCUGUCGCGUGUCCCAGGACGUUCUCCGGGCGCGCCAGCCUGACAUCCCAGGGCUAGGUGUUUGGGAAGCGCGCCGGGAGAGCCGAGUGCUAUUUAAAUCCGCAGCGAGGCGCCAGGAAGAAAGGAGACGUCACACUUGAGCUGCCGCUUCGAUUCCAAACUUCAUCAUUAAGGAAAGCCACUGCUGCUCCCUUGAGGAAAAGGCAAUGACUAUCUGGAGGAUCCAGCUUGGAUAAAAUGCACAAAGAACGCUCAGUUACUAAAUUUAUCCAUCACAAUUAAAAAAUGACAGAGACUCCUGAUUUAGUAAAGUGCCCACCUCCAGCAUCUAGGACAAUGUCCACUCCGAGACCACCUGUUUCUUCUAAACAGCUUUCAGCCACAUGGGCUUUCCCGUUAGACACAUCGAUCACUCGAGCUGCAAAGGACAGGAAGUCAGGCGAUUGUACUGUUCUCUAUGUGAUCAACACAGCUCCCAGAGGAAGAGCAAG